GAACGAACGCUGGCGGCGUGCCUAAGACAUGCAAGUCGUGCGAGAAAGGGGCUUCGGCCCUGAGUACAGCGGCGCACGGGUGAGUAACGCGUGGGCAACCUACCUCGAAGUUGGGAAUAACCCGGGGAAACCUGGGCUAAUGCCGAAUGAGCCUACGAGAUCCUCGGAUCAUGUGGGAAAAGAUGGCCUCUGCUUGCAAGCUAUCGCUACGAGAUGGGCCCGCGUCCCAUUAGCUAGUUGGUGAGGUAACGGCUCACCAAGGCUCCGAUGGGUAGCUGGUCUGAGAGGACGAUCAGCCACACUGGAACUGAGACACGGUCCAGACUCCUACGGGAGGCAGCAGUCGGGAAUCUUGGGCAAUGGGCGCAAGCCUGACCCAGCGACGCCGCGUGAGGGAUGAAGGCCUUCGGGUCGUAAACCUCUGUCAGGAGGGAAGAACGUCAGCGGGGUGAACAAUCCCGUUGGUUGACGGUACCUCCAAAGGAAGCGCCGGCUAACUCCGUGCCAGCAGCCGCGGUAAUACGGAGGGCGCAAGCGUUGUUCGGAAUCACUGGGCGUAAAGCGCGU
rnacentral:rRNA from 1 species